AUUGAACGCUGGCGGCAGGCUUAACACAUGCAAGUCGAACGAGCGGCGGACGGGUGAGUAAUGUCUGGGAAACUGCCUGAUGGAGGGGGAUAACUACUGGAAACGGUAGCUAAUACCGCAUACCAUCGGAUGUGCCCAGAUGGGAUUAGCUAGUAGGUGGGGUAAAGGCUCACCUAGGCGACGAUCCCUAGCUGGUCUUCGAGGAUGACCAGCCACACUGGAACUGAGACACGGUCCAGACUCCUACGGGAGGAAGCAGUGGGGAAUAUUGCACAAUGGGCGCAAGCCUGAUGCAGCCAUGCCGCGUGUGUGAAGAAGGCCUUCGGGUUGUAAAGUACUUUCAGCGGGGAGGCGUUACCCGCAGAAGAAGCACCGGCUAACUCCGUGCCAGCAGCCGCGGUAAUAC
rnacentral:rRNA from 1 species